CAACCCUCAAGCCCAGCUUGGUGUUGGGGCACUGCGGCAUGCCGCAGGCCCUGAAAAGCAGUGGCGGGCUCGCUAUAACUCCGAGCGUAGUAACAUACGUCGUUCUGGAAGAGUGGCGGGUUCCGGCCGUAAAAACCCCUACUUUUAUAA
rnacentral:misc_RNA from 1 species